rfam:Operophtera brumata OBRT01_Sc13123, whole genome shotgun sequence.
UCAAAGGCUCUUUUUAGAGCCUCAGUCAGUGAAAUCAAGAAAAUA